rnacentral:lncRNA from 1 species
CAUGAACACUCCCUAUUUUGAGUUUGUACCAAUGUCUAGCUUUUCCCGUUAAAGAGAACGGAAAGAGCUUCCAUUUGAGGGUCUCAUCGGACAUUCCUUCUAUGCGAAGGAGGUCACAGACUUGAUAAAACUCUCUUAGGUGUGUGUAUGGGUUUUCCUCACCUUCUCCUGAGAAAGGUUGUUUUUGAACAAAUUCUAUUUAUUCGGGGUCUAUCUCAAAACUAGAUGCUAUGAUAGGCUUUGAAGAUUUUGGUGGUUCGAGAUGUGUGCCCGUACGUCUAUGAAAUUCAUAGAUAGACAUGUUUGAAUUCAUGAUAGACCAGAAAUCAAGGAUUAGAUAAGAAGAAAGAUUAGCAGAGAUGAGGCAAAGGAUAAAAGGAAAAUAUAUAUUUUUUUAUUUUUUUAGAAAAUGAUUAAGCUAGUUCGUAGUCAACUCAGCAACCGUUUCCCCGGCAACGGCGCCAAAAAUGCUUGUUGACACUUGCUAACACCACUUGAAUACUAGGUUGUCAUCCCUAGCAUGGCACUAGAGUGUACUAUGGUAUUUAUACGCACACAGAUAAUCCGCAAGCGCACGGAUACCGUUGAAGCUUUUACCCGGUUAAAGGUUUUAUCGUAUCCACAGGGAAACGGGAGAACCAACUACGCUCUAACUUAACCAAGAUAGAUAGAUAGGUGAAAAUAGGAAAGAUAGUAGAAUCGAAUAAAAACAAUAUUAAAGGUAAGAUAACAGUGAGUGAUAAUAUGGGAAUAGAGAAUAGAGCAAUUCUAGUAUAUGGGCGAUGGU